GAGGGUUGGCCCCUCGGAAUCGGCGUGCAGGCGCAGGUUCCAAACCACCUUGAGCUGCAUCGGUAAAGAGCCGUUGUAGUGAGCGUCAAGGAAAAGUCGCAUGAAAUGCGCCAGGU
rnacentral:ncRNA from 1 species